CACACACACACACCCAUCCCUCUCGGGUCUUUGUUGUUCGAGAUCUUUUUCUUCGCUUUUGUAACUGCCCUGAACCUCUUGUUUCUUUUCGGAAGUAGACGGGGAGGCUAAUUGUGGAUAUAUGUAAGCACAACAUUUUUUCAGUCAUAACUGUGUUUUGGUGCUGGUGGAGCGAACUCACGCCCCUAGCCAGCCUUCUCAGAGACUCGUGCCAAGAGUACUCGUUCACCAGCACCGCCCCUUUAAGAGAUUUCAACUGCAGACAUUUUUUAACUUUUUAAAGCGGUCAAGGAAUGUCGUCCGCUCCAGGCCCUUCCCUUUGGGUUGAAGCAGCGAGAGCAAGGCUGGUUAAGUUGCAGAGGGGUCCUGCGGUGGCGACUGUGAUUCCUGCCAAAGCACCGAGGGCAGACGGAGACUCCAUGGACGCAAGUAUGGACAUCUGCGACACGCUGGGCAGCAACACAGAAGCCGCCUCUGACCUGAUAGGUCCCAGAAGGAAUACACAGAGUGACCAGGUCAAAGGGUUUAUCCGCCCGUAGGGGCAAAGGGCCCAGGCUGCGCGUGGCUCCGUUCUGCCUGCAGCUGAGGCGAAAGUGUCUUGGGGGUUCUAUACAUGCUGACUUAGGCCAAGUCAAAGCAACCCUGUCUGUGCUUGGCUAGUCUGGGCGGCGCUGCGCCCAUCUGAGCCACUGCUUGCCCACUCUACUCCACUGCAACAGCAGAGCUACCCCUCCAGACCCUCCUCUAGGUCACCCUGGGCAUAAUUAUCCCUCCCGAGGGGAAUUGCGCCUUUCUGGUGCUGGAGAAGAACAGAGUGACCAGGUUUUCAAACUCGGCCCGGAGCCGAAGCCAGAAUCUGCCCCGCACGUAGCUCCUGGAUGCUGGAGAACAGCCAGGAGCCGCGCGAUGUACCACCCGCCCUAGCUCAUGGAUCCCCGACCCACAGCACCUCUCAGAUGGAGCCCUGGGUCCCCAAUUAAAGCGUGGGAAAGAGGCCAGGCCUGGUUUGCUGCAGUCACACCGUCGGGCUCCACUUUCAGCUUAUUUCUGGAACAAAAUGGGGCUUCUACUUGGCAGAUGAAGAGAACUACUUUACGCAGUGUGGGUACGCAGGAGCCUCCCAGGGCCUCCUGAUAUCAAACAGGCAAAACUCUUAAAAUGCGGAGCCAAGGUUUCCCCCAAGGGUUCGUGAGCCAAGGGCAGUAUCACAGCCACAGAAAAACACUGAAAUGGCAACCUGCCUCUCCUUCCCUCCUCUCAGAUAGGAUUAAGGAAUCUGAAAAGGACUGGAGUAGAUGACUUUCAACUGAAGUUCCUGGAGGAGCUUCUACCAAACUAAGCAACCAGGAAAUACAGAGCUUAGGUUGGGUUAGACUGGGAAGCGCCAUGAAGACCUUCUAGAAGGUCUCCAUAAAAUGAGGCCAAAGGAGAAAGAAAACCCAAAGCAUAUUAUUUAAUGAUUUUUAAAACCAAGAUGUUAAUAUACUGAAGAAUUAGAUGUGGGCUCUGGCCCUAAGGCCUGCUUCCUUCAAUUUCUGAAAAUUUCUAACAUACCUAGAUCCUCUAAAAUAGUGUGCGUUUCUGUGUAGGGGUGUGUGGUAUGGUGUGAGUUUCAAUAGAAAUUAUUGUAUUUUUUAAAUGUGCACUGAGCACCGCCUAGAGAUGGUGACAGCCUGGUGAACAAAGGUUUUUAUUUAUCUUUGUAUCGCCAGAACCAGGCACUUAGUAGGCAUUCAAUAAAUGCCAGUGAGCUAAAUUAAUGGUAAAUCAAAUCAUGCUCAACACACUAAAAUCAUAUACUGCUCUCAAGAAGAAUGUGACAAUAAAUACAUACUUUUAUUUGUCACAGUAAACUGUUAGGUUUCUGUUCAGUAAGUUGUUUUCCCAGUUAUUAGCAUUUUCCUGGUUAUCUCCUUUAGGAAAUACUUAUCUUGCAAAUUCAGAAGCCAUUAAUUCAUUGCUUAUAUUCAAAAUUAAAACUAAUUACAUAUUUUUAACAAGGAGCCAGAUUUUCCAAGGGCCUAAACACCCUCUGGAUUACAACUGAAUGUAUUUUUAGAAGCCACAUUAAUUGCGACCAGAGGAAGACCACCUGAAUGAAAUAAAGACAUCACUCACCCACUAGAUGUCUAUAAUUAAUGUGCCUUUCAAAAAUACCUACUCUUGUGACUAAGAAUGAACUUGGGUAUAAUGAGAAUCUGCUUAAUUAUGAAUUUUAUCCACAGUUUUUGCUACUAACUUAACCAUUCAGUAAUUUUUUGGUGGCCUAGUUAAGUUACUUUAACCAGUAUUUAACGUCUUCACCAGAACCUGUAUGUAGUAUAAAAAUCAAACCCAAUAAAACAGUGCUUUUUUCCUAAUUCCUGAUGAAAACCAUCUCUCUAGUCUGGCCACUGAAAUUCUAUAGGCAUGUCCAGCCUCGGGACAUUGAGGCAAAUAGAGUGAUUCAGUAACAUUUAAGGAGUUCCAGAUAGCCCUGGUUGACUCUGAGAUGACCUGAUUGUUUUGUCCUUUAGUCUGGUUUGGGUAUAGUUCUCCACUGGGCUACUCUUUACAAAUAGGACCUCCCUCUCCAUAUCAUGAUUUUUGUCUUCCUCUCAUCUAACCCUAAAUUAUAUUCUGUUAGUAGCUUAUUAUUGUGUAUAUUAGAUUGAUGUUUCUAUCCUAUCUUCUGUGUGCCAGGUGACAACAAUCUGUACCUCUGUUCUGCCUUAGAUUGUAAUUUCCUAGGGGACAAGAAUCAGGCCUCUGUAUAAAAUGUGAAUUAUUUGGAACUAGAUGCACUGAAGUCUCCUUGGAAAUGUUCUGCCUGGUGUUACUGAAUGGUCCUUAUAGAUAAAUUCUUUUAAUAUCUAGGAGUCUAAGUUCCCAGAUUUGUAAGAAAUCUUGAAGAUUAACUGGUCCAGUGAUUUCUAGACAAUAGGAUUUCAAAAUAAGUAUCAGUGUGGAAGAACUGACAAAUAUUUGCCAAAUUUUUAUUUUGUCUAGUAAGGACCUUAAAUCUGUCAACUACUUAUUACUAUUUUUUCCCAAAAGAAAAGAACGUUUUA